rnacentral:rRNA from 1 species
ACAUACGACCAUAGGAAGUGGAAAAUAGGGCUUCCCGUCCGCUCAGCCGUACUCAAGCCACUUGCCGGUCAGUUAGUAGUAUGGUGGGUGACCACAUGCGAAUCCUGACUGUUGUAUGUG